UAAACUAUAAGAAUUUUAAAUAUAAGGACCCGAAAUAAUAAGAUCAAAAAAGUUAUAAAGGUUUGAAUUAAAGUUAAAUAUGUAGCAUAAUAUAAUUUUAAUAACUUUUUAGAGGAGAAAUUCCAACAAUUUUUAGGAUAGCUGGAUUGAAGGGAAAAGUAUUAAGUACUUAAAACAAUUAUAAAGUGAUAAGAUUUUAUAAAUUAAAUAAGUUGUUUUUAAAUUGAGCAGGGUUAACCCCCUAAAAGUUGGUUAUUUCUAUUAUAAUUUAAAUGUAUCUUUUUAUGUUUACCUUUUAAACUAAAGUUAAUUAAAUACUUUAGUUUAUAAUGUUUAAAUUAGUAUUUUUAUGUAAAUUUUAUUAAGGAACUCGGCAAAUAUUAUAUUUGACUGUUUAACAAAAACAUAGUCCGUUUGCUAUUUAUGAUGGAUAUAGCCUGCCCUGGUGAUUUUAUUUAACGGCCGCAGUACCUUGACUGUGCAAAGGUAGCAUAAUAAUUUGGCCUUUAAAUGUGGUCUAGAAUGAAUGGAUUUACAAAUAGCAACUGUCUUCACUUUAAUUAAAGAAAACUUAUUUAAAAGGUGCAAAUACCUUUAUAUUAAUAUAAUAGACGAGAAGACCCUUAGAAUUUAAUUUAAAAUAAAAGGUUCUAUUUAUUUCGAUUUUGUUGGGGCAACAAAGCAGCAACUAUUUAAUCUGCUUUUUGAUACUUAGAUAUGCCGACUAUUUGUAUGGAUAUAUAAAUUACCUUAGGGAUAACAGCAUAAUUUAAUAAAGAUUGUGACCUCGAUGUUGGAUUAGGGCCAUAAUAAUUUAACCAAUUAAUAUGUUAGUUCUGUUCGAACUUUACCACCUACAUGAUCUGAGUUCA
rnacentral:rRNA from 1 species